ACGUGCUUAGCAGAAACCUAAAUCACCAAAUUAAUACAGGAUCGCAUUACCAUUGAAGCCUUUGAAACAAAUCUCUAAAGGUUUAGGAACUCUCAUACUAUCAUGUAUUCAGCAUAUGCUCCAAAUGUCAUAACAGCAGCUGGAGUCCCAACUUCUAAAUUCUUAACAGAUUCUCCCACCGCUGCAAUUAGUCCAACUCCCUGACAAAUUAAGUGAAACAACGUACAGAGUUUUGAACCUGAUCCACCAAGAAAGCCUGGAGAAGUUGAAUUCAACAGUAUGUUUACCUCAAAUCCAGCAUCAAAAGGAAGCUUGGGCGAGCCACCGCUAAAGUAACGACCUGAGCUGAAGUUUACCUACUCAU